AGAAUCUCCAAGACUAGCAGUAUAGGAGCAGAAUGGCUCAGUGCACAGGGUCCUCUUAUAGUAGGUAUUCAGGCACAGAAUUAUGCACAGCUUUGUUGACCCAAGAAGUUCAAUCUAAAAGACCUAAAAGAAUAUAGACUACAUGUAAUGUUCUUCAGGAAAUGAAGUAGAACUUAAGAUUUCUUGUAAUCUCUUCGAACUCUGAUUAUGUUGAUAUUCAUGGAUGGGUGGAUUGCUCCCUUCUACGAAAAUCAUAUCAAGAACUAGAUUUAUGAUGAGAGAUAUAAAAUGAAAACCAGUUCAAUGGCAUAAAAUGUUCAGAGCAAAGCCGGAGUAUUGGGGGAAGUCUACCAUAACAUCACAGAAUAAUGUACUAAAACCUCUCAUCCAUAAUGUUCACUGAUAGGAGAGCGAGGUCCACUGUUAGCAGUGCCUGGUGUGUCGAGUGAAUGAGCACCGACUGUCACUGAAGCCUCUUUCUGCACCUUGGCUCCAGGAAAACCUUUGGGCACCUAUAUAUGAUGUGAUAUCUCAGUACCCUGACUCU